AAUUGAAAGGACUAAAUCGAUGACUUAGUGAGCCUGAUGCAAAGGACCAAUUUGACCCAAUUACGAAAACAUUCAGGUCUUACUACGGGCCUCUUAGCCAAUCUGACGUGAAGGACCAAUUUGAUCUAAUUACGAGAACAUCCAGGUCUUACUACAGGCCUCUUAGCCAAUCUGAUGCGAAGGACCAAUUUGACCCAAUUACGGGAACAUCCAGGUCUUAUUA
rnacentral:lncRNA from 1 species